GCUAAUACCGGAUAAGCCCUUACGGGGAAAGAUUUAUCGCCAAAGGAUCGGCCCGCGUCUGAUUAGCUAGUUGGUGGGGUAACGGCCCACCAAGGCGACGAUCAGUAGCUGGUCUGAGAGGAUGAUCAGCCUCACUGGGACUGAGACACGGCCCAGACUCCUACGGGAGGCAGCAGUGGGGAAUAUUGGACAAUGGGCGCAAGCCUGAUCCAGCCAUGCCGCGUGGAUGAUGAAGGCCCUAGGGUUGUAAAGUCCUUUCGACGGGGAAGAUAAUGACGGUACCCGUAGAAGAAGCCCCGGCUAACUUCGUGCCAGCAGCCGCGGUAAUACGAAGGGGGCUAGCGUUGCUCGGAAUCACUGGGCGUAAAGCGCACGUAGGCGGCUUUCUAAGUCAGGGGUGAAAUCCUGGAGCUCAACUCCAGAACUGCCUUUGAUACUGGGAAGCUCGAGUCCGGAAGAGGUGAGUGGAACUGCGAGUGUAGAGGUGAAAUUCGUAGAUAUUCGCAAGAACACCAGUGGCGAAGGCGGC
rnacentral:rRNA from 1 species